rnacentral:rRNA from 1 species
UACGUAGGGUGCAAGCGUUGUCCGGAAUUAUUGGGCGUAAAGAGCUCGUAGGCGGUUUGUUGCGUCGGCUGUGAAAUCCCGAGGCUCAACCUCGGGUCUGCAGUCGAUACGAGCAAACUAGAGUGUUGCAGGGGAGACUGGAAUUCCUGGUGUAGCGGUGAAAUGCGCAGAUAUCAGGAGGAACACCGGUGGCGAAGGCGGGUCUCUGGGCAACAACUGACGCUGGAGGAGCGAAAGCCGUGGGAGCGAACAGG